rnacentral:lncRNA from 1 species
GUGCGGGGACCAGAGGGAUGUGGGAUCCUGAGGAUCACUGUGGGGCACGGACGCUCAAUCCUCAGUCCCCAAGGCCGCGGCGGCGAGGCCCGGGUGGAAGGCGGCGGCGAUCCCGGGGAGGACGCGGCCGGAGUGCAGCAGGGCCAUGGUGGACCGUAGGAGGGCAGUGGGCAGCCGCAGGACGGAGCAGAGGGCGAGCGGACACACACACAGGGAACCGGCUCCUGCUGAAGGUAAUUGUAUGACAAUGGAGAGGUGAUUACUGCGCUGAAAAUCAGUUUCCUGAAGUGAAAAAGGGAAUCAAGUUACGUCACAGAGCCUGGUGUGAGCGGCGCUCUGUCAACACCAGCUCUUCAUGGGUUGUGGUUUCCUCCAGUUCCUGGAUGUGUGGAGUUCAUCCUCCACUGACUGGCGCCCCGGUUGACAAUGAGGUCUGGAAAUUGGCAACUGAUGAAGGGAAGUGUAUCAGUCCGUUUUCAUGCUGCUGAUAAAGACACACCCGAGACUGGGAAGAAAAAGAGGUUUAAUGGACUUACACUUCGACAUGGCUGGGGAGGCCUCACAAUCGUGGU